rfam:Bombyx mori DNA, contig: Bm_scaf31_contig19477, strain: p50T/Dazao, build 2, whole genome shotgun sequence.
ACAACAUUCGGACCGUCGGUCUACCGAGCAAUAUCACCCGCUCAGUGGAAGAUCUUCCCUUUGUCGU